CCGGAAUUAUUGGGUUUAAAGGGUGCGUAGGCGGGCUAUUAAGUCAGUGGUGAAAUCCUGCAGCUUAACUGCAGAACUGCCGUUGAUACUGAUAGUCUUGAGUUUGGUUAAGGUAGGCGGAAUGUGUAAUGUAGCGGUGAAAUGCUUAGAUAUUACACAGAACACCAAUUGCGUAGGCAGCUUACUGAGCCGACACUGACGCUGAGGCACGAAAGCGUGGGGAUCAAACAGGAUUAGAUACCCUGGUAGUCCACGCCGUAAACGAUGAUUACUCGCUGUUGGCGAUACACUGUCAGCGGCUAAGCAAAAGCAAUAAGUAAUCCACCUGGGGAGUACGGCCGCAAGGUUGAAACUCAAAGGAAUUGACGGGGGCCCGCACAAGCGGAGGAACAUGUGGUUUAAUUCGAUGAUACGCGAGGAACCUUACC
rnacentral:rRNA from 1 species